GACGAACGCUGGCGGCGUGCUUAACACAUGCAAGUCGAACGGAAAGGCCUGCUUUCCCUUGUGGAUUGCGGGUACUCGAGUGGCGAACGGGUGAGUAACACGUGAGUGAUCUGCCCCCAACUUGGGUAUAAGCCUGGGAAACUGGGUCUAAUUCCCGAUAGGACUGCAGGGUGGUGCCUGUGGUGGAAAACGAUUUUCUAGUGGUUGGGGAUGAGCUCGCGGCCUAUCAGCUUGUUGGUGGGGUAAUGGCCUACCGAGGCGGCGACGGGUAGCCGGCCUGAGAGGGUGGACGGCCACAUUGGGACUGAGAUACGGCCCAGACUCCUACGGGAGGCAGCAGUGGGGAAUAUUACACAAUGGGCGGAAGCCUGAUGCAGCGACGCCGCGUGGGGGAUGACGGCCUUCGGGUUGUAAACUCCUUUCGACCGCGAGGAAGCCACCUGGUUGGAAGGGUGGUGACGGUAGUGGUAGAAGAAGCACCGGCUAACUACGUG
rnacentral:rRNA from 1 species